rnacentral:miRNA from 1 species
UAGGAAUCAAAGGUAUACAAUAACAUAAUAAUUUAUCUGAUGUUAUUAUGUUAUUGUAUACCUUUGAUUCCUA